rnacentral:rRNA from 1 species
GACGAACGCUGGCGGCGUGCUUAACACAUGCAAGUCGAACGGAAAGGCCCUGCUUUUGUGGGGUUCUCGAGUGGCGAACGGGUGAGUAACACGUGAGUAACCUGCCCUUGACUUUGGGAUAACUUCAGGAAACUGGGGCUAAUACCGGAUAGGAGCUCCUGCUGCAUGGUGGGGGUUGGAAAGUUUCGGCGGGUGGGGAUGGACUCGCGGCUUAUCAGCUUGUUGGUGGGGUAGUUGCUUACCAAGGCUUUGACGGGUAGCCGGCCUGAGAGGGUGACCGGCCACAUUGGGACUGAGAUACGGCCCAGACUCCUACGGGAGGCAGCAGUGGGGAAUAUUGCACAAUGGGCGGAAGCCUGAUGCAGCAACGCCGCGUGCGGGAUGACGGCCUUCGGGUUGUAAACCGCUUUCGCCUGUGACGAAGCGUGAGUGACGGUAAUGGGUAAAGAAGCACCGGCUAACUACGUG